ACACAUGCAAGUCGAGGGGCAGCACAGGUAGCAAUACCGGGUGGCGACCGGCGCACGGGUGAGUAACGCGUAUGCAACUUGCCUAUCAGAGGGGGAUAACCCGGCGAAAGUCGGACUAAUACCGCAUGAAGCAGGGAUCCCGCAUGGGAAUAUUUGCUAAAGAUUCAUCGCUGAUAGAUAGGCAUGCGUUCCAUUAGGCAGUUGGCGGGGUAACGGCCCACCAAACCGACGAUGGAUAGGGGUUCUGAGAGGAAGGUCCCCCACAUUGGUACUGAGACACGGACCAAACUCCUACGGGAGGCAGCAGUGAGGAAUAUUGGUCAAUGGCCGAGAGGCUGAACCAGCCAAGUCGCGUGAGGGAUGAAGGUUCUAUGGAUCGUAAACCUCUUUUAUAAGGGAAUAAAGUGCGGGACGUGUCCCGUUUUGUAUGUACCUUAUGAAUAAGGAUCGGCUAACUCCGUGCCAGCAGCCGCGGUAAUACGGAGGAUCCGAGCGUUAUCCGGAUUUAUUGGGUUUAAAGGGUGCGUAGGCGGCCUUUUAAGUCAGCGGUGAAAGUCUGUGGCUCAACCAUAGAAUUGCCGUUGAAACUGGGGGGCUUGAGUAUGUUUGAGGCAGGCGGAAUGCGUGGUGUAGCGGUGAAAUGCAUAGAUAUCACGCAGAACCCCGAUUGCGAAGGCAGCCUGCCAAGCCAUUACUGACGCUGAUGCACGAAAGCGUGGGGAUCAAACAGGAUUAGAUACCCUGGUAGUCCACGCAGUAAACGAUGAUCACUAGCUGUUUGCGAUACACUGUAAGCGGCACAGCGAAAGCGUUAAGUGAUCCACCUGGGGAGUACGCCGGCAACGGUGAAACUCAAAGGAAUUGACGGGGGCCCGCACAAGCGGAGGAACAUGUGGUUUAAUUCGAUGAUACGCGAGGAACCUUACC
rnacentral:rRNA from 1 species